rnacentral:rRNA from 1 species
UACGUAGGGUGCAAGCGUUAAUCGGAAUUACUGGGCGUAAAGCGUGCGCAGGCGGUUGUGCAAGACAGAUGUGAAAUCCCCGGGCUUAACCUGGGAAUUGCAUUUGUGACUGUACGGCUAGAGUGUGUCAGAGGGGGGUAGAAUUCCACGUGGUAGCAGUGAAAUGCGUAGAGAUGUGGAGGAAUACCGAUGGCGAAGGCAGCCCCCUGGGAUAACACUGACGCUCAUGCACGAAAGCGUGGGGAGCAAACAGG